rfam:Staphylococcus phage 3MRA, complete genome.
CGGUCUAUUGCCAGAAGACAAGCGGUUGCAACUUAAAGACUACUUUAUCAAGCAGAUUAGGGCGUACAUGGAUGGUAAAAUACCGGUUGCCACUGUCUCUAAUGAGUCAAGCGCUUCAAGUAAUACAGUUAAACCAGUUGCAAGUGCAUGGAAACGUAAUAAAUAUGGUACUUACUACAUGGAAGAAAGUGCUAGAUUCACAAACGGCAAUCAACCAAUCACAGUAAGAAAAGUGGGGCCAUUCUUAUCUUGUCC